UACAGAGGGUGCAAGCGUUAAUCGGAAUUAUUGGGCGUAAAGAGCUCGUAGGUGGCCUGUCGCGUCGGCUGUGAAAACUCGGGGCUCAACUCCGAGCUUGCAGUCGAUACGGGCAGGCUAGAGUUCGGCAGGGGAGACUGGGAUUCCUGGUGUAGCGGUGAAAUGCGCAGAUAUCAGGAGGAACACCGGUGGCGAAGGCGGGUCUCUGGGCCGAUACUGACACUGAGGAGCGAAAGCGUGGGGAGCGAACAGG
rnacentral:rRNA from 1 species